rnacentral:rRNA from 1 species
UACAGAGGGUGCAAGCGUUAAUCGGAAUUACUGGGCGUAAAGCGUGCGUAGUCGGUUAUUCAAGUCGGGCGUGAAAGCCCCGGGCUCAACCUGGGAAUUGCGUCCGAUACUGUCUAGCUAGAGUUCGGCAGAGGGAAGUGGAAUUUCAGGUGUAGCGGUGAAAUGCGUAGAUAUCUGAAGGAACAUCAGUGGCGAAAGCGACUUCCUGGACCAGAACUGACGAUCAGACCCGAAAGCGUGGGGAGCAAACAGG